AGUCACUGACAUUAGAUACCCCCGUAGUCCUGGCCGUAAACGAUGUGGACUUGGUGUUGGAAUGGCUCCGAGCUGCUCCAGUGCCGAAGGGAAGCUGUUAAGUCCACCGCCUGGGAAGUACGGUCGCAAGACUGAACUUAAAGGAAUUGGCGGGGAGCACCACAACGCGUGGAGCCUGCGGUUUAAUUGGAUUCAACGCCGGACAUCUCACCAGGGCGACAGCAGAAUGAUGGCCAGGUUGAUGACCUUGCUUGACAAGCUG
rnacentral:rRNA from 1 species